UACGUAGGGUGCAAGCGUUAAUCGGAAUUACUGGGCGUAAAGCGUGCGCAGGCGGUUGUGCAAGACAGAUUUGAAAUCCCCGGGCUCAACCUGGGAACUGCAUUUGUGACUGCACGGCUGGAGUGCGGCAGAGGGGGAUGGAAUUCCGCGUGUAGCAGUGAAAUGCGUAGAUAUGCGGAGGAACACCGAUGGCGAAGGCAAUCCCCUGGGCCUGCACUGACGCUCAUGCACGAAAGCGUGGGGAGCAAACAGG
rnacentral:rRNA from 1 species